rnacentral:rRNA from 1 species
UACGAAGGUCCCGAGCGUUGUUCGGAAAUACUGGGCGUAAAGCGCACGUAGGCGGCUCAGCAAGUCAGGGGUGAAAUCCCGGGGCUCAACCCCGGAACUGCCCUUGAAACUGCUAGGCUAGAAUCUUGGAGAGGCGAGUGGAAUUCCGAGUGUAGAGGUGAAAUUCGUAGAUAUUCGGAAGAACACCAGUGGCGAAGGCGACUCGCUGGACAAGUAUUGACGCUGAGGUGCGAAAGCGUGGGGAGCAAACAGG